rnacentral:rRNA from 1 species
AGUGAACGCUGGCGGCCUGCUUAACACAUGCAAGUCGAACGAGAACGGGUUAUAGCUUGCUAUAAUUGUCAGCUAAGUGGCGCACGGGUGAGUAAUGUAUAGGUAAUAUGCCUCUUACUAAGGGAUAACAAAUGGAAACGUUUGCUAAUACCUUAUACUCCUUAUUAACAGAAGUUAAUAAGGGAAAGAUUUAUUGGUAAGAGAUUAGCCUGUAUUGUAUCAGUUAGUUGGUGGGGUAAUGGCUUACCAAGACUAUGACACAUAACUGGUUUGAGGGGAUGAUCAGGCACACUGGAACUGAGACACGGUCCAGACUCCUACGGGAGGCAGCAGUGUGGAAUAUUGCACAAUGGACGAAAGUCUGAUGCAGCAACGCCGCGUGGGGGAUGACACAUUUCGGUGCGUAAACUCCUUUUAUAUGAGAAGAUAAUGACGGUAUUAUAUGAAUAAGCACCGGCUAACUCCGUGCCAGCCGCCGCCGUAAUAC